rnacentral:snRNA from 1 species
AAAUAUUUUUAAAAUAAAAUAAAAUUCUGUUGUUAUCAGUUUAAUAUCUGAUAGUUCCCUAUAUUAAAUUGAUUUUUGGAACAAGGAGCUGGAAUUGGGGCUUGCCUCGUCCACUCCAUGCAUUGACCUGGUAUUGCAGAAUCUCCAGGAACAGUGCUCCUCCA